UAAUUGUUUAUUAAAUAAUUAAUUAUAAAUAUUUAAAUAUUAAUUAACGAGUAAUUAAUUCUCAUGGAAUGAUAAAUUUGAAUUUUAAUUAAACAUUGUACCUUGGCUGCAUUUUUAUUUUAUUACUUAGAACUCAUUACGUUCAUUAUUAAACAUUGCCUUUUGAAAAGGCGAUCUACUAACUGGAAAUUAAAUACAGGGAAGACAGGGAAAGAGAAAAGUAUGCUCCUAGGUGAUACUAAUAUUCUGAAUUAAUGAGGUUGAAAAAGAGAUAUAGAUAGAGGGAAAGAGUGAAGGGAAAGGUCAUCUGGAAACAAUUUUUUCAUUCUUAAACAUGCAUGCUUAUAUACCAUACUCGUUAUCUAAUACAUGAACAUCUUUAUAAAUAGAUAUGAAUCGUUCAUCGAUUGUUGUUACUUCGAAGACAUUUGAUUAUGUAAUGGGCGUUUGGAUUCCAACAAUUACAUGCUGCUUAGGAAUCGUUGGAAAUGCUCUUUCCCUGGCUACAUUAUCAUUGGAGAGAGUUAAAAGGGCCAAUACUUAUUCCCUAAUGGCUCUUGCAUGUGCGGAUUUAGUACUACUUUGUUUUGCUCUUAUUCAACAAGCUAUACCGAUGUUAUGUCAGAGAUCUAAAUCUACCAGUGAUUUUUGUAGAUUUCAAGGCUAUUUAAGAGUCUAUAGUUGGCCUAUUAUUUGUAUGGCGCAAACAGCGUCAAUUUAUCUAACGUUAUUAAUUUCGGGCGAAAGGUAUCUAGCAAUUAAGAAUCCUUUCAAUCUCUGCCAAUUAUCUAAAGUAUGCCGUUAUAUUAUUCUCAUAUUGGUCUUUUCUAUUCUCUUCAACGUACCAAAAUUCUUUGAAUUUAAAACGGUAACAAUUGAGAAAUUCAAUACAACGUUUAUCGAAAUGAAUCAGACAAUGUUAAGGGAGAAUAGCAUUUAUAGGUACGCCUACAACACCGGUUUGUAUGGUUUAAUUAUGUACGCAAUACCGCUUGUCUCUCUAUCAAUUCUCAACGUUCAAAUUGUUGUAGCUCUGAGUAGAGCCAAAAGAGAAUGGGCAUUUUUAAAUAGGCAUCAACAAAAAGAGAUGAAAGCCACCAAAGUUCCACUUUGUAUAGUUAUUGUGUUUAUCAUUUGUGGAACGCACAACUUUCUAUCAUUUACCUUUGAUGCAAUAUACAUCAACUAUAGAAAAUAUAAAUGGCUUCAAAUUUAUACGGCAGUUGGUAACGUGUUGGUUGUUUUAAAUUCCGCAAUUAAUUUUCUCAUAUUUUAUACUUGCGGAGCCAAAUUUCGGAAACAAUUUAAACAACUGAUUACUUGCAGAGGAAAAGACAUUAGAAAUGAUUUAAUAUCCAGGGAGAAGACUAUUCUACUUAAUUCUUUUAAAUCUGUUAAUAAUGCUACGGACACCGGCUGUCUAUAAAAGGAAAGAGAGGGGAACAAAUUUCAACUUUAUUUCAACAAGAGACAAUUAAUAGAAAACAUAAAAGAACUUAAAACAAAGAUACUAUCUGAUUGAGAAACGAUCGUAAUAUUUUUAUAUCAAUGAAUCAAUGUUGUCGCCUUAAAAUUCUUUGUAUGCCCAUCUAAUUCUUUCUUUUCAACUUUAAACUUGUUUAACUCCCUCCUUCCCCUCCGCUCUUCCUUCUUCUUCAUCUUCUUUAUGCUUAACCAUUUUCGUUGAAGAAUUGUGCUUUAUAUACGUUUUAAUCACUCUUCCAAAGGAAAUCAUAUGUUGCUGUGUAUUCUACUUAUAAUAUAAAGCUCCCCCUUCUAAUGUGUUUUUUUGAGAGUACUUAAAUUUAGUUAUAAGCGAUAUUUGCACGUUAUAUCUGAUACUGAUAAUUUAUACAUAUAUAUAUAUAUAGUUCACUUUGUUAUUCCUAUUUCAUAUACAUGCCGAAGAAAUCAAAAAAAAGUGAAAGAAAAUAUUCUACUUUGCCUUUUUGUUCUGGUUUUUUUUUAUAAAAGAAAACAUUUACCAUUUUCAUUUUCAUAGAGAAAAUUGAUAUAUGGCAUUAAGUUACGGACGAGUGAUGGAGAUAGCGUCUACUUUAUGAACAACUGUCUCCAUCUAUUGGAUUAUGGUUCGGAAAGAGUAAAGUAUAAAGCGACAGACGUAGGUGAUUUACAUUAAGAGAGAAUUCCUAGCGAGACGAACAAAGUUUUAACGUUGAAAGGUUUAUCCGAAGAUUUGCUAAUUUUCACCUAUACUUAAUGAAAUUUGAAAAGAGCUGCCUAUGUUUAUUUGUUUGUUUUUAAAGAGAAGAGAAAUAGAUAAAAUAGAAUAAAACUAACGGAAAAAAGGGCAGAGGAAAAAGGACAAGAGGAAAACAGCUGCUUUAUCCGCCGUAAAAAGUUACAGAAGAAAGAAACGAAAGGAAAGGAAGACAAAGAGAAGAAAAUGAUAGAAUAAUUUGAUAGAGAAUUUUUUAACUUUGAAGUUGAGCUAAUCAAUUCAUUGGGUAAAAUGAACUCUACUGACCUUGUCAACAAUGAUGCUGGAGGUUCUAAUAGUGAGAGGAAUCCAUGUGUCUAUUUCGAAUUUUUCGUUGGUACGAUACUUAUUGGGAGCCUCUGUCUAUUAGGAAUAAUUGGCAAUUCCGCUGCUUUCGUUAUAUUCAAUCGCCAUAAAACUGAAACUACAACUUUGUUUCUAUUAAAGGCUUUGGCAAUUUCUGAUUCGUUUCUCUUAUUGGCAUCAAUCAUUAUUUAUGUGCUUAAGCCAAUUCAUCUAUGGAAUGGAUCAUUAGAAGGGUUUUACAACAACUUUGAACAUGUACAGAAAUUCGUUUGGCCAGCGUCCAUGAUGUGCCAUACUACAACAAUCAUGCUAACAGUUCUGGUCACAUUUAACAGGUACAUUGCCGUUUGUAAGCCCUGGCAGCCUCUAAGCAAUCAACACACAAACCGGUGUACUUAUACGGAAGUCUUUGCUGUAGUUGUCUUCGCUUUUCUUUUCAACGUACCGAGAUACUUUGAACACCAUGUAAUCGAUAAAAAAAUAUCGAAUGACACCAAUCGAACGUCAACUAAUAUAAAUCUAGGAGACAAUAAGAUAUAUCAAUUGGUUUACUCUAACAUCCUCUACUUUCCUGUUAUGUACAUUGUACCCUUAAUCAGUUUGGCUUAUCUAAACAUAAAACUAAUACGGACCAUAAAAACUCUUAAUGAGAAGAGGCAAGUUUUAACCGGACAUAAAAUGAGCAACGAUGAUCAAAUAACAAACGUUAUUAUAGCUGUCGUUUUUAUCUUUAUUAUCUGCCAAACUCCCGCCCUUAUCAACCAAGUUCUGUGGUUAAUCUUCUCGCAGGAGGAUCGACAAUGUGGUCGAUUUCAUUUUUAUUAUACUCGACUUAGUGACGUCUUGGUUGUUACUAAUUCGGGAGUUAAUUUUAUUAUAUAUUGCUUAUUUGGUAAAAGUUUUCGGCGUCUAUUCUUUCAAACUGUAUGUCCUGGUCGAUCUUAUGGAACUCACAAAGUUCAACUUCGGGCUUGUGGAGCAACAGAGGAAAAUGAAGGUUUAACUGUAAAAAGUGCUAAUGGAGAACCGGAAGCAGUUGCCCUAAAAUCACUGUUGGUGGAAAGUAGUAAAUCGGCUAUAGUUCAGGAAUUGAAUACGGAUCAUGCUCAAGUUUAGCAAACAACUAAUUAAUUAACAACUCUCAAACAAUUCCCAAUACAAAAAAGUGGCAAAAUUGAAUACAUUCUCUUCUUUUGCUGUAUCAAUACCAAAGAAAAAAAGAAUAUCUCCAUCCUUCUUUACUGUAAUAAUUGUACAAAUAUGCAUAUUUCAACUUGUAUACGUUGGUAUGUAUAAUACGCUUGCGUAAACUUAUAAUAGAAAAUUGCCUACUUAAUAAUUUGUUACUUUAUUCUAAAAUUAGGCCUACUAGACAUAUCAAUUUAAUGGCAAAUAUUCAAUAUGCAUAAGUAAUAAAAACAUCUAUACGUAUGUGGGUGUGUGAAUUUGAAUGUUUGCUCAUGAAUGGAGUUGUAGAGGUG
rnacentral:misc_RNA from 1 species